rnacentral:rRNA from 1 species
AUGCUAGCUAGACUCCGGUGGUGCCGUCGUCAGGCGUCUCCUCCUCCAGCGCUGCCGUUCGUUAGGCGGCUACUCCUCCAGCGCCGUCGUUCGUCAGGCAGCUCCUCCUCCAGCGCCGUCGUUCGUCAGGCGGCUCCUUCUUUUGGCUCUUCCCCAUCUUCUUCCUCCUCUCCUCCACCUCCCCCUCCUUCAUCCUUCAACCAGUGUCGCCGUCGCCAGCCAUACACGCACGCGGUGGCCGCCGAGAAACCGGACACGGGCGCGUUGCUUCAGCUGCUAGUCGAAUCUUGCUGCCGCCCAUCGAUUCUCGCUGCUGCCAGACACGGUGCGCAGCUGCACGUGUUGAACGGGCUGGUGGCCGUGAUUCGCCCCCCGUCGGUGGAGAACAUGCUCUGCCCCGUUGAUGCUCGCGUGCGCGUGCUCACACUGGAGCUCCUGUGGCUGGUGAACCUGCUCUGUGCCACUGAGCUUCACGUGUUGGAGCUCGCCCUCCGUGCGGCGUACUACGGCCGCGGCGCUGGAGCUCCCGCUUGCCGAUUUGUGCAGCACCUCGUCCGUCCACCUCGGCCCUCUUGCCUAGAAGCAACUCGAUCUACUGUGUUGUCGCAAUGGAGGUAG